rnacentral:rRNA from 1 species
ACGGGGGGAGCAAGCGUUGUUCGGAAUCAUUGGGCGUAAAGGGCGUGUAGGCGGCUAGAUAAGUCAGAUGUGAAAUCCCUGGGCUUAACCCAGGAAGUGCAUUUGAAACUGUUUGGCUUGAGUAGGGGAGAGGAAAGUGGAAUUCCUGGUGUAGAGGUGAAAUUCGUAGAUAUCAGGAGGAACACCGGUGGCGAAGGCGACUUUCUGGCCCGGUACUGACGCUGAGGCGCGAAAGCGUGGGUAGCAAACAG